UGCCUAGCAGUGGGGGACGGCGAGGCCGCAGGUGACGAGGGUCUCGCUGGUGUGGGGGCUCCUGAUGUAGCGGCCGAGGGAGGGGUCCUUGGCGUACUGCACGCCUGCUGCGCGCGCAGGUUGGCGCAGCACGCGCCGCUCGGCUUGGCGCCGGUGGUGAUCGCCGGCAUGCACACCGUCAGCUUCCCCACCUCGCACGCCGCACGCGCCCUGCCCGGUGCCGCCACCACCAGUGCCAGCAUCAUGGCCACCAGGAGGACCUCCUUCCUCAUCGCCAUGCCCGUCGUCGUUGGUCUACUCCUCGCUCUCGCAGUGUCAGGUGUUGAGUGUGAUGGAGUGGUGCAACGGUGGUGUGGACAUGGAUCUACGGACUCCCGGGGUAUUUAUGGCUGGCAACCUAGAUAAUUAACAACCCACCUGCCGCGAGCCGGCUAGUUAGUGAACUGCAGUAGUUCGCCAUGACUAGGAUCAGCAAAAAAGUUGAUGCAUGCAUGGCUACACUUAGGGCAUCUCCAACAGUUGUAAGAUAGAUGUUGGUAAAUUUGCCACCUAGGACAUAGUGAUGAUGUGGCAUGUAUUAAAUGUGAAGAGAGAGCAAAGUUGUAUGUAGAUUAGAGCAUGGUUAAUAGUAUAGCCAACUGCUGGCUAUAAGUCAUUGCCAUGUCAUCUAUAGCCCAUCUUAUAGCCAAUAUGUACAAUAGUUGAUUAGAAGAGUGUAUUACUUUUUUAUUAUAUGGCCCACCUUUCAUUCUCACAAAGUGUCUAGGAGCACGUGCUAGAGCUGGCUCUUCACCAAGAGCCCGCUUAUCUUCUCUCUCCUCUUCUCUUUCCUCCAACUAAGCAAGAAUAUACUAGUUUAUUUCUUAUAGCCAGCUGACUCAGCUCUAUUGUACUUGCUCUUAACCAACAACCUUUGCACAAGUUCCAAGGUGAAAUAGAGAGCAACCACAUUUAUUGUCCCACCAUCUAUUGGAUAGCUUACAUACAACCCAUGGAGUAGUUGUAUGAUAGCUUGUUGGUUGAUGACAUGGACAUUUUACCAACAAGACUAACAUACAACCUGUUGGAGAUGCCCUUAUGGAGUAGUAUGGACGUACCUAGUGCAUUCAAAUCCAGUCGGUAGAGGUCAGCCGAGUAGUUCGUCCACGUUGGCUGCCCGCUCGGUGCUACCAAGGAUUCAAAAAUCGGAAGAAAAAAUGGCAAAUCUGAAAAAGGUUCACGAAAUUGAGAAAAAAAUACGAAUUUGAAAAUUAUUCAUGAUUUUGAAUUUUUGGAAAAUUUGAACAAAAAUGGAUAAUGGUUUAGCUCAUAGUCUUGACCAAUUUGGGCGUAGAGAGUUGUGUGGUGGAGUUAUACAAAAUACAGUGCCAACUUGCGUCUUGAGCAUGGCCUUGCCAGAUUGUAAGGACAAUGUUUUCUCUAUUUCAAAAAUAGUUUCACAUAUUAAAAGAAACCUUUUCAAGCAUUUCAAAAAUGUGAAACUCGUCUUUUGGCGAGGAUUUGGGAAGCUGCUUACUUUAGUCUGUGAUAUUGAUAUUUAUAAUGCAUGGAACAUUUUUUUGUAAAUUAUGUGAGAUAGGUUGUCUUAAUGUGUGAAUUUAUUGCUUCAAUAUGUUACUGUCAAUUUUCUUGAAAUUCAACUGGUUAAUUAAAAAAAUAUGAAACCUAAUUUUACAAUGAGUGAAACUAAUGCACAUUUUUUAAACUGCUUCUUCGAGUGCGUGAAAUUGUUAUUUUCAAUAUGUGAAACAUAGUUUUUAUUUGUGAAAUUCAUUUUUGUUUUCUGAAGUUUCUUAUUUCAGUAUGUAAACUUAUACUUUUAAUAUAUGAUUUUUUAUGUUUGAAACCUAUUUAUAUUUUCUCAAAUUGUUUAUUUCAGUGUGUGAAACUUAUAAGUUUUAAUGUAUGAUAUGUUUUUCUAAUAUAUGAAAAUGAUGUCAAAUAUGAUUGAAAGAGUAAAUUACUGAAACUGAUUUGAAAUGGGAUAGCAACAAUAAAAUGAAAACUGGUUCAAUAUUUUAUACAUGAUUUGUCUUGUUUCGAAGAUCUUCUCACAAUGAAUUAAAAUGUUACUAAAAAUGCCAAAAACAUUCUUUUGAUUUAGAAAAGAUCAAUAGUAAAUUCUUUUACAAUUAAAUUAAAUAAAAGUACGGUGUACAGGAGAGAGAGAAAGAAUAUUUAGCAUACAGGCAAUCAUUCCCCCCUCCACUGUUUCUUGAAAAAAGUUAUGGUGCAUGUAAAGGUCCACAAGCAUUUCUAUGUAUUCCAUUGACACCUCUGGCAAAAAAAAAAAGACCAUCCAGGAUUAGCCCUUGAAGGCAUAUUUUCAUUGAAAACACUCUGAGCACCACGGGUCACUCCGUGACUUGAAUCCGGGCGGGCUAGAUAGCUUCGUGCUAUCCUAGCCAACAGAGUGAUACUCUCUAGCAAAAACAUAACAACGCCUAUGAUCCUUGAUUUGCUCACUUUUGCAGCCGAGCAGUGCGACUAGUUUGCCUAAUUAAGAAACUCGUAGUAUUCCAACUUGUUGGGUUUUGCAGAUGUUUUUUUGGAAGGUUCCUAAUUAAGAAACUCGUAGUAUUCCAACUUGGGUGGUUUUGCAAAUUUUUUUUGAAGGUUUCUUGCGCGAUUUUGAUUGUUUACAAAGCACAUAGCAACAGAGCAGAAAUUCUCCUAAAAAAACAGAGCAGAAAUUUUAUUGCGCUUGAGGGUCCUGCACAGAUACACGGAAUUUAUGCCACCGGCGACACAGCGGUUUGCCGAGAUCUUUCAUCGUAGCAGCCGCAAAGAUCGCAUCGGUACCCAAAAAAAUACCCCUGCAAAAACGUCUUAUAUUGUGGGACAGAGGGAGCUCGACGGGCACACAACUCAGGCGAUCUCAUCAAGGUUGCAACACAAAUAUUAUUACCAGCAGCAGCAGCCAGGAAGCAACCUGGCCGCCGCAGAUCAUCACGCAACAUUUUAUUCAUUCCAGUACCAGCAAAGUCGAACCACAUAGUAGUUUAGCAGGAAGAUGCGUUCAUGGACGCAACACGUACGCACUCAGCUAGGGCUAGCUAUAGUCUGACACUCUCACGGCGGCAGCUAGCUAGCCAUAUGCGCCAGGGGCCUGCCGGCGCCUAGCAGUGCGGGACGGCGAGGCCGCAGGAGGUGAGGGUGUCGCGCGCGUGGGGGCUGCGGAUGUACUGCCCGUAGGUGGGGUCCUUGGCGUACUGGCAGAAGCACCCCUGCUGCGCCCGCAGGUUGCCGCAGCACUCGCCGCUCGGCUUGGCCCCGGAGAGGAUCGCCGACGCGCACACCGCCAGCUGCGACGCCUGGCACGCCGCGCGCGCCCCGCCCGGCGCCGCCGCCAGCACCACCAGCGCCAACAUCAGCGCCGUCACGACCUGCUUCUUCAUCAUGCCCGCCAUGGUUCACGCUCUCGCUCUUGCAGGUGUGUCCGUGUGUGUGAUGGGAAUGGAGUCUACUGGUAGUUGUGUGAAGGUGGAUCUAGGAGCUCCCGGCUGGGGUAUUUAUAGCUGGCCACGCACUGCCGUGGCCCGAGCUAGCCGGCCAUGUGCAUGCCAUGCGGCGACACGUAGGGAGCGUACGCGGCCAUCGCCGCCGACGGAGCAGGUGAGCGAUUAAAGAUAGAGGGGCAAUGAGCGACAUGCGACGACGUCCAUCACUGCAAUUGAACACCCCACCUGCCGGGAGCCGUCUAAUGAAUCGCCCACGGCCGCUGUAAUAAUCCGUUGAACACUCUACCAUGACUAGGGUCAGCAGAAUGGUUGACGGGCACACUUUGGACGUCCGGCAUUCAACUCCAGUGGGUAGUUGGCCGGUGUUAGUUGCUCGCUGGCUCUGCUCCGUGGGUGGUGUAGGCCGAAGCUAGCGGACGACACGACUUCAUUCAUGCGAGGCAUCCAAAGGUAGGUGAUGCGAAGCGUCCAAACGCGCUAGUCUCUUGCAUCACCGACGUGAUGUCCCCUUCAUCUUUUUGAAAGGAAUCGACGCCCGGCCCAGCUCGGGUCGUUCCAACAACCGACGGGGAGCACCUCAGUAUACGAUCGUGCGCAGUAACUGGGAGUCCUAUUACACCUAAGGCCAACUUCCAUUCACCAAACCCAGGUUCAUCUUGUGUAGUGAUUGUGGACUCGUACAAGGAUAUGGAGUCGACGGUUGAUGUAUCAGAAUCGACCCUGUCUUUCCUAGCAAGCAUACCCAUCUGUGUUGCAACUGAUUCGGUAGGCUACGUGUCCGGUGCACGGAAGACCUGGACACAGGUAGAAUUGACGGGUGUACGAUUAUCAGCAUGUCUUGUGGUGCGCUAGUCUCUUUGGUCGUAUUAUUAUUGCAAGCCAGAAGUAAAGAGCGUGAGAGAUACUCCUAGAUGAAUGGAUGAAUUAAUAGUCUUGAGGAUAGAAGUGGCGGGAUAUAUGAGGGGAAAGAAGCACUGAAUCAUAGUCUUUUCUGGUGAAUAUGCAAGGCUUGUGUGUCAUGGCGUUGUUUUCCUUCAUGAAGGCAUCGUCUUGAUUGCUCGCGGCGUGCCCGGCGAUGAAUUUCGAGAUUUGAGACAUCGCUUAGGUUCAGGUCGUUCUUUGCUAGGGCAGUUUUGCCGGUCCACAUAAUGCACUUUCAUGGGAGGCGCGCGUCGCGGUUUUUGGAAGCUUCGGACCUUAUUUUUCUGGACUAGGUUUUGCAGUUUUUCCGUUUUCAUUUUUAAUUGUUCAUUUUUUUCAGAUGAAUGAAAUUAUUAUUUUUUUGAAAAAUACAAAAUUCAUAAACUUUCCCAAAUUGUGAAUUGUUUUCAAAUUCAUGAGCUUUCUUUUCAAAUUCAUGAACUUUCCUUGAAUCCAUUAACUUUUUCAAAUUCGUGAUUUUCUUACAAGUUUGUGAACAUUUUUUUGAAUCCAUUAGGUUUUUUCAAAUUCAAAAUUGAGAACUUUUUUUAAAAUUAAUGAAAAUUAUAUUCAAAUAGGUGAAAUUUCUCUUAAAUUCAUGAACAAUAUUCGAAUCUAUGAACUUUUUCCAACUGGAAUCACGAACUUGUUUCAAAUUUACAAACUUUUUUCAAACUUGCGAACUUUUGUCAAAUUUUGUGAUCUUUUUCUCAAAUAUAUGAUUUUUUCCAAGAAAAAAAUCUAUGAACAAAAUAUAUGGUCAAAAAUCAAUGGUUAAUGGUCAGCUGGUCAAAAGUCUACCCUAUGAACUUUUUCAAAUUCAUAUUUUUUUUCUAGUUCAUAAUUUGUUUUUAUUUUCAUAUUUUUUUUAAGUUCAUGGACUGUAAGAGAGCAGGGAGUGGAAAAUCGAGCGGAUAAAAAACUGGAUGAUGACAGAGCAUGCGGCACGGAUGGCGUCCGACGAGUGAUUUAUCACGUUUUCCAGCCAUGUCUAGGACAUUGAAUUUCAUUUUGCCAUAUGAGGGGUUGUCCGUCGCUGCUUGAAGAUGUAGUCGGACGCGUCCAUGGAAGUUUAGGUUGGAGGGGCGAAUUUGCCAAAUCUGCCUGUAGAUGUUGUGAGUACUGUGUAGUGAUAGUGAAACAAGUCAAUGGAUCCCAUGGAAGUUCCAACACAAGUUUACCGGCCAGCGGCCAGGCACCACGAUUUAUUCCAACACACCAACAUACUUGCGUACAACAACACUUACUCCCCUCUGAGAGCACCUACUCCUCUCGCCGGCAUAGAAGGUCUACCAUCUGAGAGCACGUCAACAAGUUUAUUGGCCACUAUGCUUCCAUGCGUGGCCGGAAUCAAAGUGGGAUUGAGUCCAAAUUCACGUAAGUUGAAUUCAUUUGUUUUGUCAUAAUUUGCAAUGCUAUUUUUUAUGUCGGAUUAUCAUGAUAACUUUGUUUUUUUUUUGGUUGAUGGUGUUGGUGGCCACUUUGUACCAACAAACAAGAACAAACCAUUCGGUUUUAGCCAUUUCGGAUGAAAUUGAAUGCCAACCAAAGUGGAUACAAGUUGUGGAAGACCUCAAGAAAGGCAACUAGAAGUUGAGGACAAAUGAUGGCUCAAGCUUCCAGAAGUCCAUUGGAUUGUAUAAGGAGGAGGAAGAAGUUCUAGUGGAGAAUGAAAGAGCCAUCACGCCAAUGAAUAACCGGCAAGUAAAAGGAGACAAGUGAGAGAUCGUCUGUGAUGCCGUAGCGUAAAAAAAAGUCCACCACAUAGAUGGGCAUUUUUCCACAAGGGAGAACAAGAAAGGGAAGAGAUACAAGCUCAUGUUGGAUGUGAGAUGAUGGAUUGGAACCGGGAGAAGAUGAACAACAAGUUACAAAUUGAGAGGGAGAUUAUAUUUGGAGAAGGAGGCGUGUCAAAUGGGAGCUCGAGAAGUGCCGGACUUUUAGAUCCCCAGAGAUUGAGAAGGAGAUGUUGCAACUUGCUCUAGACACGGAGGGUUCUAUGAUAAUGUUAAUUGAAAUAGACCUCUUGGAUGCGGAAGGCAAGAAGUGGCUUAAGGGGAGGAAGAAAAAGAUCAACAUGGCAUAGAUAGUACGAGGCAACGUAGGGGGCAUGGAUCACCGCAGAGCAGGCGGCACGGAUGGCGUCCGGCAAGUGAUUCAUCAUGUUGUCGAGCCAUUGCUCGGACGUUGCAUUUCCUUUUGUCAUGUCCGGAUGGUUAAAUUGUGGUUUAUUUUGCUUUGUUACAUUGUUGAAUUGGUGAACAAUUUAUAGCAGUGAUAGUGACACAAGUCAAUGGAUCCUGUGCAAGCUCCAGCACAAGUUUAGCGGCCAGCAGCCUGGCGCCGUAGAUCUCACCAUCGUUUUAUUCCAACAUGUCAACAUACUUGCACCGCAUGCACUUACUCAGCUAGGAUAGCUAGAUAGAUUCAUGGAGGUACCUAGCUACCCUAGCAGAGUAGACUCAGCCAGCUAUAGGGGGCCUAGCAGUGCGGGAGGGCGAUGCCGCAGGUCUGGAGUGUCUCGCGGGCGUGGGGGCUGUUGACGUAGUGCCCGUAGUUGGGGUCCUUGACGUACUGGCAGAAGCACCCCUGCUGCGCCCGCAGGUUGCCGCAGCACUCGCCGCUGGGCUUCGUCCCGCCCAGGAUCGCCGACGCGCACACCGCCAGCUGCGUCACCUCGCACGCCGCCCGCGCCUUGCCUGGGGCCAGCACCACCAGCAUUAGCAUCACGGCCACCACUGGCACUGCCUCCUUCCUCAUCGCCAUGUCUGUCGUCGUCGUCGAUCUACUCACACCACACGCUCGCUCUCGCAGUGGCAGGUGCUUC
rnacentral:lncRNA from 1 species